GAUGAACGCUGGCGGCGUGCCUAAUACAUGCAAGUCGAGCGAACAGAUGAGGAGCUUGCUCCUUUGACGUUAGCGGCGGACGGGUGAGUAACACGUGGAUAACCUACCUAUAAGACUGGGAUAACUUCGGGAAACCGGAGCUAAUACCGGAUAAUAUUUUGAACCGCAUGGUUCUAUAGUGAAAGACGGUUUUGCUGUCACUUAUAGAUGGAUCCGCGCCGUAUUAGCUAGUUGGUAAGGUAACGGCUUACCAAGGCAACGAUGCGUAGCCGACCUGAGAGGGUGAUCGGCCACACUGGAACUGAGACACGGUCCAGACUCCUACGGGAGGCAGCAGUAGGGAAUCUUCCGCAAUGGGCGAAAGCCUGACGGAGCAACGCCGCGUGAGUGAUGAAGGUCUUCGGAUCGUAAAACUCUGUUAUUAGGGAAGAACAAAUGUGUAAGUAACUAUGCACGUCUUGACGGUACCUAAUCAGAAAGCCACGGCUAACUACGUG
rnacentral:rRNA from 1 species